rnacentral:rRNA from 1 species
UACGUAGGGACCGAGCGUUGUCCGGAUUCAUUGGGCGUAAAGAGCUCGUAGGCGGCUGUUCAAGUCGAACGUGAAAACUCGGAGCUCAACUCCGAGCCUGCGUUCGAUACUGGACGGCUAGAGUCUGGUAGGGGGAUCUGGAAUUCCUGGUGUAGCGGUGGAAUGCGCAGAUAUCAGGAGGAACACCGGUGGCGAAGGCGGGAUCCUGGGCCGUACUGACGCUGAGGAGCGAAAGCGUGGGAGCAACAGG